rnacentral:rRNA from 1 species
GGCCCCGCACAAGCGGUGGAGUAUGUGGUUUAAUUCGAUGCAACGCGAAGAACCUUACCAGGGUUUGACAUCCUGCGAAUCUCUUGGAAACUUGAGAGUGCCUUCGGGAGCGCAGUGACAGGUGGUGCAUGGCUGUCGUCAGCUCGUGUCGUGAGAUGUUGGGUUAAGUCCCGCAACGAGCGCAACCCACGUCUUUAGUUGCCAGCAUUUAGUUGGGCACUCUAGAGAGACCGCCGGUGAUAAACCGGAGGAAGGUGUGGAUGACGUCAAGUCAUCAUGGCCCUUACGGCCUGGGCUACACACGUGCUACAAUGGCUAGGACAGACGGCUGCAAACCAGCGAUGGGGAGCUAAAUCCGACAAAACUUGUCGUAGUCCGGAUCGAAGUCUGCAACUCGACUUCGUG